rnacentral:miRNA from 1 species
GCUCACACAUCCCUGCCAAUCUCCGGCAGACCCUCCCUCCCAGACCCUCCUACUUCCUGGACAGCAUCCAUGUUGAAGGCAGCUUCAACAUGGAUGCUGUCCAGGAGGUGGGAGGGUCUGGGAGGGAGGGUCUGCCGGAGAUUGACAGGGAUGUGUCAG